UGGCCUCUUCCAUAGCAGGGGCGAGGAGUAGUUUGCAUCAGGCAAACAGGCUAGAAAGUAACGAACUGGUCCAAGUUUGUGAGCACGGGCGAGAGAGAGGGAAGGGCUGCCCAGGGCUCCCCCCGCGUUACCUGAAGACACACUCCUCCCUGGAGUCCCUGGCAGGAGAACUCAGCCCGGGCUUCUUGUUGAAGAGCUUCUGGAACAAGGUACCAGAUCCCAGGGGCACUGAAGGGCACCAACACAGAGUAUCCAGGAGAUCUUGGACAUCAUCCAGGCAUGGGGAGAGGAGUCCAUCCCCUCAGAACGCCGAACUGGCAAGAGGAAUGCUGACAUAUAUGGAAGGAUCGUAAGCUGCUUGGCAGCUAAAGGAUAUUCCAGGGAUCAACACCAUAAGAAUUUAAAGGCUAAGGUGAAGUAGGGCAACUGCUCUUCUGUGACUGAAGCCGGCGGCGGUCAGAGAAGAACUGAGGAGGCAGUUGGCUGUGUGCAUGAGAUGAACAGGGCACAGUUACUAGAAAGCUGCUGACCAUGGCGCACCUACGGAGACACUCCUCAAAGAAGAAAUGAUCCACAAGCAGAUGGACUGCAUUCACUUCCUCAUGGAGGAGAUGUGAGCCGAGUACCUGGACCAGAUUGCCAGGUUACAGGAGAGCAGCAGGCCAGACAGGCUGAAACCAUGUUAGCCUCCCUGACCACUGUUAUAGAGCACCUGGUAGUGUGCAUGGAGAAGGCCUCCUCCAUGCCUGCUCCAAUGAUAACCCCUGGUCUCUCCUCCCCCAGCCCUGUGGUUCCCCCUCACAGAGUUCCCAGGGGCCACCAGGGUCCCAGGAGGCAGAAGGCGAUCCCCAGCCACAUUCCUGAGCCCCCUUCCACCUUUGAGUGCCUAAUUCUGUCCUUUCCCAGCAUUCUCCUCCCCCCCCCAAUAAAAACUCCUGUUCUUUGCA